rnacentral:misc_RNA from 1 species
AAGCCGAGCGUUGGAGAUCUCCCUACUCAUCUCUGUCCAUACUCUUGCCUCUAGUCUCUAUGCGUGAUAUCUCCUCUAGUGAUACCGUCAUGGGAAGUAGCCGGUAUAAUCAAAAAUGGCGUCGAUUAUGUUUUUUAGGUUAUUGACAAAACGUAAAUUGCCAUCUAAAUAUAAAAGAAGUCUGUGUAUCCCUCGUAUAUCAAGUUGUAAAUACAGUACCCAGAAUCGACAGCUCGAGAAAUCAGAAGUCCGCGUUAAUCUUAGUAAUGGGAAUGAACUCACAUUCUCGACGGGUCAAUACGCCAAACUGGCAGAUGGAUGUGCGGUAGCAUCGAUCGGUGACACCGCCGUUAUGGUCACAACGGUCAGUAAAGUGAGAGCUUCAAAUAACUCAUUUUUACCGCUUGUCGUCGACUACAGGCAAAAGGCAGCAGCCGCUGGUCGAAUACCUACAAAUUUUUUCCGCAAGGAACUGGGUCCCACCGAACAUGAGAUCCUGACCAGUCGCCUAAUCGACCGUUCCCUGCGUCCGCUAUUCCCAGACAAAUACUGCUAUGACACUCAAGUGAUGUGCAACAUUUUGGCUGUCGAUGGAGUUAAUGACCCAGAUAUAAUUUCGAUAAACGCGGCAUCGGCAGCUUUGUCUUUGUCGGAUAUUCCUUGGAAUGGACCGGUCGGUGCUGUCAGAGUGGGAUUAGUCGAUCAAGAAAUCCUUAUAAACCCGACGAGAAGGCAGAUGCAAAAAAGUGAUCUGAAUCUAAUAGUCAGCGCAAUGGCGAACAGUCUUAUUGUCAUGCUCGAAGGCUCUGCAAACGAUAUACUUCAGCCUGAUUUUUUCAAGGCGUUAAAAGUUGGUGUCAAAGAAUGUCAGAACAUUGUACAGAGCAUAUUACAGUUGCAAAAGCAAUACGGCAAAGCUAAAAGACAAAUCCAGGCAAUUCCUGAGACACAGGAAGAGAUCAAAGAGCCCAUAAAAAUUCUCUCAGAAAUGAGGCUGCGGGAAAUAUUCAGAGAUCACAAACAUGAUAAAAUAUCACGAGACAAUGCAGUGAAUAACAUAAGAACUGAUGUCAUUGAGAAAAUUAAACAGGAACAUCCCAAUAUCGAUUCUACUGUUGUAUCGGAAGAAUUUUCAGCACUAAGCAAAGAGAUAUUCCGGUCGCUCAUCUUUGAAGACAAUGUAAGGUGUGACGGGCGAGAGCUUCAUGAAUUGCGUGACAUAUCGUGCCAAGUCAAUCUUCACAACCCCCUCCAUGGGUCUGCAGUAUUCCAGAGAGGACAAACGCAAGUGUUCUGUACAGUAACUCUAGAUUCACCGGAAAGUGCUCUGAAACUGGAUACCAUUUCUAUGCUGACAAGUGGAAUAAAGGAAAAAAAUUUUUUCUUGCACUACGAGUUUCCACCAUUUGCAACAAAUGAAACUGGACGUUCAGGACCGAGUGGACGAAGAGAGAUUGGUCACGGUGCUCUUGCCGAGCGAGGAUUACGUGCUGUUCUUCCCAAAGACUAUCCCUUUACUAUAAGGCUCACCAGCGAGGUAUUAGAGUCCAAUGGCUCUUCGUCAAUGGCAUCUGUUUGCGGUGGAAGUUUAGCCCUGAUGGAUGCUGGUGUUCCAAUAACCACAGCAGCUGCGGGGGUAGCGAUGGGUUUGAUUACAAAGUAUGAUGAAACUAAGCAGAUCAACGACUACAAAGUCCUCACAGAUUUAUUGGGUAUCGAAGACUACAUGGGCGACAUGGACUUCAAACUAGCAGGUACAAAGAAAGGGAUCACGGCCGUACAAGCGGACAUCAAAAUUCCCGGGAUUCCGUUAAAAAUUGUAUUUGAAGCAUUGCAGCAAGGCCAUAACGCGAAAUCAAAAAUCAUUGAGAUCAUGAAUUCUGCGAUCGCUAAGCCGAGAGAAGUGAAAAAACCAAAUAUGCCUGUGUCGGAAAUGCUUGAAGUACCCAUUCAUAUGCGAGCCAAGUUUGUUGGAAUUUCAGGCUCGAAUCUUAAAAAAAUACUCGUCGAAACUGGAGUUCAGGUGAAUCAAGUCGAUGACACGAUCUUCUCACUGUUUGCUCCUAAUCAAACUGCAAUGGACGAAGCAAAAGAAAUAAUUGAUCGGAUUCUUACUGCGGAACGUGAGCCAGUUUUAGAGUUUGGGGCAAUUUAUAAUGCCAAGAUUGUGGAGAUUCGUGACUUAGGAGUGAUGGUCACAUUGUAUCCGAGUAUGAAUCCGGCAUUGUUGCAUAAUUCGCAGUUGGAUCAACGGAAAGUAAAUCAUCCAAGUGCUCUGAAUUUCGAAGUUGGUCAAGAGAUACAUGUUAAAUAUUUUGGCCGAGAUCCUGUAUCAGGAGCGAUGAGGUUAUCGAGAAAAGUUCUACAAAGUGGUGCCGUCGCGCCUGUGAAAAAUUUUACAAAUUCGUGAAUAAGCGAUAUCUAGAACAAUAACAAAACGAAUUGCAAGCCAUGAUUUUUUACUUAUGAGCAGGUCGUUCAGGGAGAUCAGAAG